rnacentral:tRNA from 1 species
UCGUGGCUCAGUGGAAGAGCCUCUGCUUUGCAGGCAGAAGGUCUCAGGUUCAAUCCACGACUGGAGGGAA